rnacentral:rRNA from 1 species
UCCCUAGGUGAACCUGCGGAAGGAUCAUUAGUGAAAUUAGAGCGUAACUUCGGUUAGCUCAACCUUCAUUUUCCAACUCUGUGCACUAUUGGCGGACUGGGAGCAAGUAAAUGCUAUUCAGUCUGCGGCUCACUAUUAAACAUUAGUUAAAGUAUGUAUAUAAAAACAAAACAAAAAAACUUUCAACAACGGAUCUCUUGGCUCUCGCAUCGAUGAAGAACGCAGCGAAAAGUGAUAAGUAAAGUGAAAUGCAGAAAUCAGUGAAACAUCGAAACUUUGAACGCACCUUGCGCUCUCUGGUAUUCCCGAGAGCAUGUCUGUUUGAGUGUCAUGAACUCUUCAACCUACCCAUUUCUAGUAAAACGGAUUAGUGUUUGGAUUUUGAACGCUUGCUGGCCUUUAUUGGCGAAGCUCGUUCGUAAAAGAUUAGCAUCUCAUAUUCGAAAAACGGAUUGACUCAGUGUAAAAGACUAUUCGCUGAGGACGCUCUUUCGGGAGUGGCCCAGUUUUGUAAAGUAGAAGCUUCUAAAUCUAUUAGUCAACUUUAGAUUAGACCUCAGAUCAGGCAGGAUUACCCCCUGAACUUAAGCAUAUCAAAAAGCGGAGGAAAAG